UACGAAGGGGGCUAGCGUUGCUCGGAAUCACUGGGCGUAAAGCGCACGUAGGCGGACUCUUAAGUCGGUGGUGAAAUCCUGGAGCUCAACUCCAGAACUGCCUUCGAUACUGAGAGUCUCGAGUCCGAGAGAGGUGAGUGGAACUGCGAGUGUAGAGGUGAAAUUCGUAGAUAUUCGCAAGGACACCAGUGGCGAAGGCGGCCGGCUGGGGGUGCCCUGACGCUGAGGCGCGAGAGCGUGGGGAGCAAACCGG
rnacentral:rRNA from 1 species